CCUACGGGAGGCAGCAGUGGGGAAUAUUGCGCAAUGGGGGAAACCCUGACGCAGCAACGCCGCGUGAGUGAGGAAGGACUUCGGUCUGUAAAGCUCUGUUAAUGUGGAAAAAUGGUAGUUGGUCUAAUAGGCCGAUUAUUUGAUGGUACACAUAGAGGAAGCACCGGCUAACUUCGUGCCAGCAGCCGCGGUAAUACGAAGGGUGCAAGCGUUGUUCGGAUUUAUUGGGCGUAAAGCGCGCGUAGGCGGACCUGUAAGUCAGAUGUGAAAUCUCGGGGCUCAACCUCGAAACUGCGUCUGAAACUGCAGGUCUAGAAUCUCGGAGGGGGAAGGGGAAUUUCGCAUGUAGGGGUAAAACUCCGUAGAUAUGCGAAGGAACACCAGAGGCGAAGGCGCCUUCCUGGACGAGUAUUGACGCUGAGGCGCGAAAGCGUGGGGAUCAAACAGGAUUAGAUACCCUGGUAGUCCACGCUGUAAACUAUGAACACUAGGUAUUGGAGGAUUUGACCCCUUCUAGUGCGUAGCUACGCGUUAGUGUUCGUCCGUGGAGUACGGUCGCGAGACAAACUACGAAGAAGUAGACGGCGUGAGACGUGCCGACGGACGACGACGAGGGAGGUUAGG
rnacentral:rRNA from 1 species